rnacentral:tRNA from 1 species
GUCCGUAUAGUGCAAUAACUAGCAUACUAGAUAGGAGAUCUAGAGGUACAGGUUCGAAUCCUAUUAUAGACA